UCCACAUUCCCUUUCCAGCUUACAAAAGGAGCGCCAAGGAAGGAGGACCUUGGCAGACAUCCAAGAUGGCCAAGGGAAAAGAAACCCCUGUUGGGGGAUGGGGGCCUGUGAGGCCUGGGACCCCACUGGGGAGCGGUCCUGGCUAGCAUGGGGCUCGUUUGUGUUAGGAUGAGACCAGUUGGAGGCGGGAAGGCCCUUAGCAUCCGGGAUUCUGGCAUAAUUUAGCCUUGGACUGGCUUUUCUCCAUCAGCUCUUCCCAGCGCUCUCCACCCUAAACCCACUGAGGACACAACAGGGUGUGUGUAAACCAGGUUGAGAGACAUGGCAGCCAAAGAGGUAGACAGAGCACACCACCAGAGGAUCUCUGAGGCAACAGCGACAGACCCGGAACGGUACCGCCAAGAAGAAAGCCCAGAGAUCUGUAAUCUGAAUUUAAAAGAUGCCCCAAGAGGUUGACCCAUACCCAUCAUGGUUUAAAAUAAAAAGCGUGUUUGUGAGCGUGUACACACACACACACGUCUGCAGUAGGUGGAAAGGUCAUGGGUUCAGAUGUUUCCUUCUGAUUGCAUUGGAGUCCACUCCAUGGGUAUCUCCUUCUUUCACCAAUCACCACCCCUGGCUGCUGGUGAAGGGAAUGUUAAGGAUAAGCCAGAGGGCUGGGGGCCAGAGGGCGGAGGAUGAGCAACAAAAGACAGCUCAGGGAAGUCCUGGAAAGAGCCUGACUCUGGAGGGGAAAGGAACAAUGGGCCUCUGUUUAGGGUCCACCUCCACUCACAGGUCCCGGCAAAGGGAAGCCUGGAGGCAAAUCAAACACCACCCACAUCCACAGGCUGCCCACAGAGGCAGGUGAGUCAGAGCCCAGGCUUAGCUGAUAACAGUCAGCAGCGGCCCAGAAUGCAGUCCUUGUUGACGGUUGCCACUACUCGCCCCCUCCUCAAGGCUGGGCCUGCCAGAGCAAGCCUGAGGGUGGGGCUGAUCAGGAAGCAGGGCUGGCUGGGAAAAGGAGAGAGGCCCAGCAGCCUACCCUGCAAGGUGUGCUCUGUGGUAACUUGAAGGUGCAGUGGGGCCAGCCGGCAGCAAGAAGAGUCAGCUCGGGGAAACCCACAAGCUUUUAUCCUGUGUUCAAUGUCAGCUGUGCUCUCAACCCACAAAUCCACUCAUUCCUCCAGGGGGGAAAUGCCACUGUCAGUACUAAGGCAAGACUCUAGGCUGAAAAGGGCCAAAAUUCAACUUGAAUGGGCUUGGGAGGAAAGUCGUCUUGAGUAAUCCUCAAGUGGGGCAAGGAUGGAGAAGGAUAGGAGGCUGAGGCCAGCCGGCUGGCAAGGACAUCUUCUGCAUCUUCCUUACGUGUCUCAGGGGCUGGCAUCCCAUUCUUCUGCAGAUAGGCUGUGCAUCCCUCCCAACCUAGGGAGAGAAACAUAACCACGUAACCCAGAUCGGGGUCACGCUCGUGGUUUCAUGACUAGAAAGAAAAUGUUAUCACUGGUCACCUGGUUUGGUUAGAGAGUUUGUAAGGACUUCUUGUAGGCUCCCCUCAAACUAUGUGACCAGAUCUGGGCCAGGCUCUCUAGCCAGGGAGAUGUGUUGAUGUAAUUUUCCCCGAGUCUUUGUCCCACCCAUUGUCAGACACAUGUGAGAAUAUCUCCUUGCUGUACACUUGGGGUCUCCUGUGACACAGCUGCUGGUUGACCCCCAUAACAAUGUUGCCUUUUCUCUCAUAGAUUGAAAGUCUUUCCUGGAGCUGGAGAGAUGGUUUAGUGGUUAAGAGUACAUACUUCUCUUACAGAAGACUGGACUUUGGUUCUUAGCAACCAUAUCUGGUGGCUCAAAAUACCCGUAUAACGCUACCUUUGAGGAGCUCUGACCUCUCUGACCUCCUUGGGUACCUGUAAGCACAGACACACACAGACACUAACACAUAUUUAUAAUUUAAAAGAAAUUAAAGGUUUUUCCUUUUUCUUUUUCUGGAUACAUGUCUUCUUGGCGAAAACCAAAACCAAGAACCCUACAUUUCCCAGAUUCCUUUGCAGCUAGGGGUCUGCAAUCCAUGAGUGUAAAAGUUCUGGUGUGAGCAAAGCAAUGUGUGCAGCUUACUCAUGGUGCCUUUAAAAGGAGGGAGUCGGGCUCCCCUGGCCUCUUUCUCCUACAUGGUACAGGCUACAAGCCAGUGUGAGGUCAUGUAUGUGAGGUCAUAUCUUGGGUCAUGUAUGCGAGAAUACAGGCAAAGGAACGGUACUGGAGCAAGACAAUCAGAAGCAGCCUGAGUCCUUGCUUCUGUUUUGGCCCUAAACUGUUUGUCUCUGGGCUUUUACACA